CACGUAGGGCGCAGGCGUUGUCCGGAAUUAUUGGGCGUAAAGGGCGCGUAGGCGGCCGUUUGCGUCGGAUGUGAAAGCCCGGGGCUCAACCUCGGAACGGCAUUCGAUACGGGACGGCUGGAGACCGGGAGAGGAGAGUGGAAUAGCCAGUGUAGAGGUGAAAUUCGUAGAUAUUGGCUGGAACACCGGUGGCGAAAGCGGCUCUCUGGCCCGGUUCUGACGCUGAGGCGCGAAAGCGUGGGGAGCAAACAGG
rnacentral:rRNA from 1 species